UACGUAGGUGACGAGCGUUGUCCGGAUUUACUGGGCGUAAAGAGCGCGCAGGCGGUCGUUCAAGUCGAGUGUGAAAGCCCCCGGCUCAACUGGGGAGGGUCACUCGAUACUGAUCGACUCGAAGGCAGGAGAGGGAAGUGGAAUUCCCGGUGUAGUGGUGAAAUGCGUAGAUAUCGGGAGGAACACCAGUGGCGAAGGCGGCAUCCUGGACCGGCAUUGACGCUGAGGAGCGAAAGCCAGGGGAGCAAACGGG
rnacentral:rRNA from 1 species